AAUAGAAUACCCUCUACUCUCCACCUCCCAGCCCAAGCCCUCUGUGGCCUCUCUAGCCAGUACUGUCAGCGACUGCCCUUGUCCCUCCACUGAGCACACAGGACCUCCUAGAUCCUGCUGUACUACCUUGAAGCCAGAGAGACAACUGGGAAGCUACCCUUAUACUUACUCUCUGCUAACUCGUGUUUCCCUUCACCUCUACUCUGGGCUGCUCUAGUUAGGGAGGACCCUGAAAAACAGACUCAAAUAGGAAGGAGAGAAAGACUCUUUAGAUGCCCGCCUGAUCCAGCACUUCAGAGAAAUCUCCCUUCCAGUCUACUCCUGAAAUCAGCCAUAAGAAGGGGAAGUGAUGCUUGGAAUGUAUUCAGAAUUCAAUUGGUUUGGGAGCUGUAAUGAAUCGCUGUGGAAUGAGCAACCUGAGAAAUAGAAGAUUUGGGGCUGACUAGGAUUUGAUGUAGAACUCCUGCAUCUUAUUUAAUCAUCUACUCAAAUCUCGAAGAGGCUACUAAAGGUAGAGAAUAAAUAAAUGAAUAGAGAUAAAAAUAAUUGAACCCAACUUAAGUCUAAGAUAACUUAUAUGCUCCUCUUUUAACUUGCAUAUAUUUUCUCAUCUCCUGAAUUUCCUCUUUAACAUCCUAAGAUGAAGAAGUUGCCCAGUAAAUAAAGCACCAGGAUGGAGCUUAUAGGUCGCCCAAGUCCAUGGUCACGCUAGUUGAAUGUUUCUUUGGGAUGACUGUUGGAUGCCUUUUAUUACUUUGAUUUCCUUACCUGUAUGAUUUUAUAGAGGACCAGUAUCAUAGGGGAAAUGUGAAGAGCAAACAACCAAUGAGAGAAAGCCAUAUUGGAAAGCACUUGUUUUAAAGAAAAAAGUUAUGAAUCCAUAUGCAGAACAGAGCAGUACAGAAUGAAAACUAUUGCAGGUUUUGAUAGGUAUGUUAGAAAAGAGUCACUGAACAAUUUCCUGUUAAUUCUGGGGCACUUAUACUAUUUUUAAAAUAUCCCACAAACCUUUGCCUGACAAAAGAAGAGUAGGAAAUAAAGCCUUAGUCUCUGCAAUGACAGCUGUUCCCAUAGCAACGUGUCUGUCAGUCAACACCCACUUCAUCCAGCUUCAGAAAACACCCCCAGAAAUAAAUGUCAAAAGUCUUAUGCAGGUUCCAAAUUUAAAUCAAACUUUAAAAUAAAUUAAAAUAAGAACCCAAACACCCACAACAGUCACAAAAGUAAAUUUUGGAAGGAGGGAAAGGGGGUAAAAAACAAAGGUCAAAGGAAUCCUCCAAGCAGAUGCAGGAAGUCAAGGGUGGAUAGGCACCCUUCACUCCUUUUGGAGCAUCGCUCUGAUAAAGCAUUAUUUACCUAGGUGGGCACUAAAUGCAAUCCGUUCAUAUCUUGUUCCUCUUGCUUUAAUAGUUGGCUUUCAUUUUCAUGAUCAUCAAAUCAUAUUUACCCUCUUCAUUCACUCUGGUGUGCUAAUGUUUCAGCCCCUCAUUUUAAUGGUAGGAGGUAACAAGAUUCUAAUUACCAGUCAGGUGGAGCACUGUGCUUGGCCACUCUUUCAGGGGGGAUGACAUUUAGCUAAUAGUGACUGGCCCUCCUAGCAAUUAAAAUGAUCUCACAUGCCAUCCUUAGGUCCUGUGUUGCUAAUGUAUGCUUCAAAAAGUAAGCACUAAACAAUCUUUUAUCCAGAGAUGAAAUACAUUUAAAGCCUAAUGUCACACUUCAGGGGUAAGUGAUAGGU